GGGUUGUGAGGUUAAGCGACUAAGCGUACACGGUGGAUGCCCUGGCAGUCAGAGGCGAUGAAGGACGUGCUAAUCUGCGAUAAGCGUCGGUAAGGUGAUAUGAACCGUUAUAACCGGCGAUUUCCGAAUGGGGAAACCCAGUGUGAUUCGUCACACUAUCAUUAACUGAAUCCAUAGGUUAAUGAGGCGAACCGGGGGAACUGAAACAUCUAAGUACCCCGAGGAAAAGAAAUCAACCGAGAUUCCCCCAGUAGCGGCGAGCGAACGGGGAGCAGCCCAGAGCCUGAAUCAGUGUGUGUGUUAGUGGAAGCGUCUGGAAAGGCGCGCGAUACAGGGUGACAGCCCCGUACACAAAAAUGCACAUGCUGUGAGCUCGAUGAGUAGGGCGGGACACGUGGUAUCCUGUCUGAAUAUGGGGGGACCAUCCUCCAAGGCUAAAUACUCCUGACUGACCGAUAGUGAACCAGUACCGUGAGGGAAAGGCGAAAAGAACCCCGGCGAGGGGAGUGAAAAAGAACCUGAAACCGUGUACGUACAAGCAGUGGGAGCACGCUUAGGCGUGUGACUGCGUACCUUUUGUAUAAUGGGUCAGCGACUUAUAUUCUGUAGCAAGGUUAACCGAAUAGGGGAGCCGAAGGGAAACCGAGUCUUAACUGGGCGUUAAGUUGCAGGGUAUAGACCCGAAACCCGGUGAUCUAGCCAUGGGCAGGUUGAAGGUUGGGUAACACUAACUGGAGGACCGAACCGACUAAUGUUGAAAAAUUAGCGGAUGACUUGUGGCUGGGGGUGAAAGGCCAAUCAAACCGGGAGAUAGCUGGUUCUCCCCGAAAGCUAUUUAGGUAGCGCCUCGUGAAUUCAUCUCCGGGGGUAGAGCACUGUUUCGGCAAGGGGGUCAUCCCGACUUACCAACCCGAUGCAAACUGCGAAUACCGGAGAAUGUUAUCACGGGAGACACACGGCGGGUGCUAACGUCCGUCGUGAAGAGGGAAACAACCCAGACCGCCAGCUAAGGUCCCAAAGUCAUGGUUAAGUGGGAAACGAUGUGGGAAGGCCCAGACAGCCAGGAUGUUGGCUUAGAAGCAGCCAUCAUUUAAAGAAAGCGUAAUAGCUCACUGGUCGAGUCGGCCUGCGCGGAAGAUGUAACGGGGCUAAACCAUGCACCGAAGCUGCGGCAGCGACACUAUGUGUUGUUGGGUAGGGGAGCGUUCUGUAAGCCUGUGAAGGUGUGCUGUGAGGCAUGCUGGAGGUAUCAGAAGUGCGAAUGCUGACAUAAGUAACGAUAAAGCGGGUGAAAAGCCCGCUCGCCGGAAGACCAAGGGUUCCUGUCCAACGUUAAUCGGGGCAGGGUGAGUCGACCCCUAAGGCGAGGCCGAAAGGCGUAGUCGAUGGGAAACAGGUUAAUAUUCCUGUACUUGGUGUUACUGCGAAGGGGGGACGGAGAAGGCUAUGUUGGCCGGGCGACGGUUGUCCCGGUUUAAGCGUGUAGGCUGGUUUUCCAGGCAAAUCCGGAAAAUCAAGGCUGAGGCGUGAUGACGAGGCACUACGGUGCUGAAGCAACAAAUGCCCUGCUUCCAGGAAAAGCCUCUAAGCAUCAGGUAACAUCAAAUCGUACCCCAAACCGACACAGGUGGUCAGGUAGAGAAUACCAAGGCGCUUGAGAGAACUCGGGUGAAGGAACUAGGCAAAAUGGUGCCGUAACUUCGGGAGAAGGCACGCUGAUAUGUAGGUGAAGUCCCUCGCGGAUGGAGCUGAAAUCAGUCGAAGAUACCAGCUGGCUGCAACUGUUUAUUAAAAACACAGCACUGUGCAAACACGAAAGUGGACGUAUACGGUGUGACGCCUGCCCGGUGCCGGAAGGUUAAUUGAUGGGGUCAGCGCAAGCGAAGCUCUUGAUCGAAGCCCCGGUAAACGGCGGCCGUAACUAUAACGGUCCUAAGGUAGCGAAAUUCCUUGUCGGGUAAGUUCCGACCUGCACGAAUGGCGUAAUGAUGGCCAGGCUGUCUCCACCCGAGACUCAGUGAAAUUGAACUCGCUGUGAAGAUGCAGUGUACCCGCGGCAAGACGGAAAGACCCCGUGAACCUUUACUAUAGCUUGACACUGAACAUUGAGCCUUGAUGUGUAGGAUAGGUGGGAGGCUUUGAAGUGUGGACGCCAGUCUGCAUGGAGCCGACCUUGAAAUACCACCCUUUAAUGUUUGAUGUUCUAACGUUGACCCGUGAUCCGGGUUGCGGACAGUGUCUGGUGGGUAGUUUGACUGGGGCGGUCUCCUCCUAAAGAGUAACGGAGGAGCACGAAGGUUGGCUAAUCCUGGUCGGACAUCAGGAGGUUAGUGCAAUGGCAUAAGCCAGCUUGACUGCGAGCGUGACGGCGCGAGCAGGUGCGAAAGCAGGUCAUAGUGAUCCGGUGGUUCUGAAUGGAAGGGCCAUCGCUCAACGGAUAAAAGGUACUCCGGGGAUAACAGGCUGAUACCGCCCAAGAGUUCAUAUCGACGGCGGUGUUUGGCACCUCGAUGUCGGCUCAUCACAUCCUGGGGCUGAAGUAGGUCCCAAGGGUAUGGCUGUUCGCCAUUUAAAGUGGUACGCGAGCUGGGUUUAGAACGUCGUGAGACAGUUCGGUCCCUAUCUGCCGUGGGCGCUGGAGAACUGAGGGGGGCUGCUCCUAGUACGAGAGGACCGGAGUGGACGCAUCACUGGUGUUCGGGUUGUCAUGCCAAUGGCACUGCCCGGUAGCUAAAUGCGGAAGAGAUAAGUGCUGAAAGCAUCUAAGCACGAAACUUGCCCCGAGAUGAGUUCUCCCUGACUCCUUGAGAGUCCUGAAGGAACGUUGAAGACGACGACGUUGAUAGGCCGGGUGUGUAAGCGCAGCGAUGCGUUGAGCUAACCGGUACUAAUGAACCGUGAGGCUUAACCUUACAACGCCGAAGGUGUUU
rnacentral:rRNA from 1 species